rnacentral:misc_RNA from 1 species
GAAAUGCGAUAAGUAGUGUGAAUUGCAGAAUUCAGUGAAUCAUCGAAUCUUUGAACGCACAUUGCGCCCCUUGGUAUUCCAUGGGACAUGCCUGUUCGAGCGUCAUCUACACCCUCAAGCUCCGCUUGGUGUUGGGCGUCUUUGUCCCGCCUCCGCGCGCGGACUCGCCCCAAAUUCAUUGGCAGCGGUCCUUGCCUCCUCUCGCGCAGCACAUUGCGCUUCUCGAGGUGUUGCGGCCCGCGUCCAGAAAGCAAUCGUUACCGUCUUUGACCUCGGAUCAGGUAGGGAUACCCGCUGAACUUAAGC